CUCCAUUUUAACUUAUGUGGACUUGAGUUUUCAGGGAUCACAUUGGGGAUAGUGAUCUAGAGGUUUCUGGUUACCCUUACUACCACAUCAAGGCAGUGAUUUUGCCCAGACAUUCUAUUAUAGAUCCACAGUUAACCAUGCAGCAACAAGUUGAGAGCCUGAGUACCAGGCCCUACACUAGGUGAUAGGGUUGCAGUAAGGCCCAGUGCCUGACUCCAGAUGCUCAGAGUUUAAGGAGAGAAAUAUUGUUAUUAAUAUAAAUCCCUAAUUCCAGGAAAAAGUAAGCCAAGUUUGAACCUGGAGGGAGAGGGAAAGUCUGUUGAAAUACAGGGAGCAGUAUCCUAGGCAAUGGGAACAGUAGGCUAAAGGGCUAGAGGCAAGGAGGUAGGGAACUGUGCAUUGUAGACUUGAAAUAUAGCAUAAAAAAGCAUAGCAAUAGAUUGAGCUAGACAGAUGAGAUAAUCAAGGAUCUCUCUAAACCUGGUCUUGAUCUUGAGCACAGUGGAGAGUCAUUGCAAGGUAUUUUUUUAAAAAUUUUAUUUGUAUAUGACAGCAGAAUGCAUUACAAUUCUUAUCACACAUAUGGAGCACAAUUUUUCAUAUCUCUGGUAUAUUAAACAAGAGGGUAACAAUGUUUCAGAAUAAUUCACUUGGACCAUAAUGUGGAAGAUAGGGCAUGGCAGCUCGCAUAUAUAAUCCUAGCAAUUUGGGAGGCCGAGGCAGGAUCCUAAGUUUAAGGCCAGCCUGUGCAACUUAGUGAAACCCUGUCUUAAAAUAAAUAAUAAAAAUUUGGGGGUUGUAGCUCAGUGACUCAGUGAUAAAAAUUCCCCAGUACUUGGGGCUGGGGUUGUGGCUCAGCGGUAGAGCACUCGCCUAGCAUGUGCAAAGCUCUGGAUUCAAUGCUUAGCACCACAUUAAAAAAAAAAAUAAAAAAGAUAUUGUGUUCAACUACAACUAAAAAACAAAUAUUAAAAAAAAAAUUCCCCAGUACUGAAAAAAAGAAAAACAAAAAAACUGUGGAAGAUAGACCAAAGGGACAAGUCCAGAGAUCAACAAUGUUUUAGUCCCAUAGUACUCCUUUUUUUUUUAAAUGCCUUUAUUUUAAUAUCAUUUAUUUUACUGACUCCUCAGCCCUUUUUGUUGUUUGACACAGUGUCUCACUGAGUUGCUUCGAGCCUCACUAAUUUUCUGAGGCUGACCUUGAAUUUGCAAUCCUCCUGCCUCAGCCUCCUGAGUUUUAACAUGCACUGGCUAUUUUACUAAUACUUUAAAGUUCUUAUCUAUAAAGCUACUUUUCCCCUCACGUUGUUGUUUGGAUGGUAACCCUAAGCCUGUUCUCUGUGUCUUGGUCACAGUCAGUGGUGCCAAGCAAAUUGGGAAGUUUGCUCUAUGGGCCCUGCUUCUCAGCAGACUGCUUCUUAUUGGGCUAAAUUUUUAAACUAAAAUACUAGUCAGUGUCCCACCAUCCUCUAAUUCUAGGUUUGCUAGCCAGCCUCUAUGAACUCAGUAUGCUGCUAAGCUCUGCCUUCCAGGUGUCCAGUUUCUAUGCAUGUCCUGUUGUCAUGUUUGAGUAUCAUCAGCUUGAGUUACCUUUUUAAUCUCUUUCCUUGACUACUUGUUCUAGAAUCUGGGGCAGAGGGAUGUUAAGACGAAACGAAUUUUAUUAAAAUAUUUUCAAAAGUUUGUGAUAGAGUAGUGUAGGCAUUUUUUUUAUUGAUAUAAAAUAAAAUAAGGGGCAGUUCUAAAAUUUACAUAGUUUCAAAGUGACUUUAAAUAUGUGCAAUGACUAUAAUUUAGCUGUCUGUGGUUUCUAUUGAUGAAGUCACAGGUACUACUGAUACUGCUGUGGAUUGCUGCCUACCUUCAUAAUUGAAAAAAAUGUUAUCUUCAGCUAGAAGUUGGUAAAAAUAAAGGUUUUCUUUUCCCCCAACAAAACUCACUGAA
rnacentral:lncRNA from 1 species